UGGCACUGUCUUUGAACCCGUCUGGUCUGACUCGUGACUUCCCGGGCCAAGCUACAGUGCUAAAGCAAAAGUAGGCUUGUUCAUAACUGGAGCGGCCUGGCACUUCCCCCAGGCCGCUCUUUUAAAAGCAAGCCACAGCC